GACGAACGCUGGCGGCGUGCUUAACACAUGCAAGUCGAACGGAAAGGCCCUGCUUUUGUGGGGUGCUCGAGUGGCGAACGGGAGAGUCACACGUGUGUAACAUGCGUUUGUAUCUGGGAUAACUUCAGGGAACUGCGGCUAAUACCGGAUAGGAGCACCUGCUGCGCGGAGGGGGUUGGAUCGCCUCGGCGGUUGGGGAUGGACUCGCGGCUUAUCAGCUUGGUGGGGGGGUAGUGUCUUACCAAGGCUUGGACGGGUAGCCGGCCUGAGAGGGUGACUGGCGACGUUGGGACUGAGAUACGGCCCAGACUCCUACGGGAGGCAGCAGUGGAGAAUAUUGCACAAUGGGCGGAAGCCUGAUGCAGCAACGCCGCGUGCGGGAUGACGGCCUUCGGUUUGUAAACCGCUUUCGCCUGUGACGAAGCGUGAGUGACGGUAAUGGGUAAAGAAGCACCGGCUAACUACGUG
rnacentral:rRNA from 1 species